AACGUACGCUGGCGGCACGCCUAACACAUGCAAGUCGAACGAAGUAGCAAUACUUAGUGGCAGACGGGUGAGUAACAUGUAGGUAUCUGCCCUUUGGCCUGGAAUAACACGAGGAAACUUGUGCUAAUACCGGAUAAGUCUUUACGGAGAAAGCUUUAUGCACCAUUGGAUGAGCCUGCACUUGAUUAGUUUGUUGGUGGGGUAAUGGCCUACCAAGACUGUGAUCAAUAGCUGAUUUGAGAGGAUGAUCAGCCACAUUGGGACUGAGACACGGCCCAAACUCCUACGGGAGGCAGCAGUGGGGAAUCUUGCACAAUGGAGGAAACUCUGAUGCAGCGAUGCCGCGUGAGUGAAGAAGGCCCUUGGGUUGUAAAGCUCUUUCGUCGGGGAAGAAAAUGACUGUACCCGAAUAAGAAGGUCCGGCUAACUUCGUGCCAGCAGCCGCGGUAAUACGAAGGGACCUAGCGUAGUUCGGAAUUACUGGGCUUAAAGAGUUCGUAGGUGGUUGAAAAAGUUAGUGGUGAAAUCCCAGAGCUUAACUCUGGAACUGCCAUUAAAACUUUUCAGCUAGAGUAUGAUAGAGGAAAGCAGAAUUUCUAGUGUAGAGGUGAAAUUCGUAGAUAUUAGAAAGAAUACCAAUUGCGAAGGCAGCUUUCUGGAUCAUUACUGACACUGAGGAACGAAAGCAUGGGUAGCGAAGAGGAUUAGAUACCCUCGUAGUCCAUGCCGUAAACGAUGUGUGUUAGACGUUGGAAAUUUAUUUUCAGUGUCGCAGGGAAACCGAUAAACACACCGCCUGGGGAGUACGACCGCAAGGUUAAAACUCAAAUGAAUUGACGGGGACCCGCACAAGUAGUGGAGCAUGUGGUUUAAUUCGAAGAUACGCGCAGAACCUUACCAACACUUGACAUGUUCGUCGCGACUCUAAGAGAUUAGAGUUUUCGGUUCGGCCGGACGAAACACAGGUGCUGCAUGGCUGUCGUCAGCUCGUGUCGUGAGAUGUUGGGUUAAGUCCCGCAACGAGCGCAACCCUUACUUUUAGUUGCCAUCAUUAAGUUGGGCACUCUGAAAGAACUGCCAGUGAUAAGCUGGAGGAAGGUGGGGAUGACGUCAAGUCCUCAUGGCCCUUACGUGUUGGGCUACACACGUGCUACAAUGGUAUCUACAACAGGAAGCAAGACUGCGAAGUUAAGCAAAUCCCUAAAAGAUACCUCAGUUCGGAUUGCACUCUGCAACUCGAGUGCAUGAAGCUGGAAUUACUAGUAAUCGUGGAUCAGCGUGCCACGGUGAAUGCGUUCCCGGGUCU
rnacentral:rRNA from 1 species